rnacentral:rRNA from 1 species
AGCAUAUCAAUAAGCGGAGGAAAAGAAACUAACAAGGAUUCCCCUAGUAACUGCGAGUGAAGCGGGAAAAGCUCAAAUUUAAAAUCUGGUGGUCUUUGGCCAUCCGAGUUGUAAUUUAGAGAAGCGUCUUCCGCGCUGGACCAUGCACAAGUCUCCUGGAAUGGAGCGUCAUAGAGGGUGAGAAUCCCGUCUUUGGCAUGGACCCCAGGGCUUCUGUGAUGCGCUCUCAAAGAGUCGAGUUGUUUGGGAAUGCAGCUCAAAAUGGGUGGUGAACUCCAUCUAAAGCUAAAUAUUGGCGAGAGACCGAUAGCGAACAAGUACCGUGAGGGAAAGAUGAAAAGCACUUUGGAAAGAGAGUGAAACAGUACGUGAAAUUGUUGAAAGGGAAACGCUUGAAGUCAGUCGCGUCGACCGAGACUCAGCCUUGCCUUGGCUUGGUGUACUUCUCGGCUGACGGGUCAGCAUCAAUUUCGAUCCUUGGAUAAUGGCAAGGGAAAGGUAGCACCUUUAUAGGUGUGUUAUAGUCCUCUGUCGGAUGCAAGGGUUGGGAUUGAGGAACUCAGCACGCGCCUUGUCGGUGUCGGGGCCUUUUGGCCUACGUACGUGCUUAGGAUGCUGGCAUAAUGGCUUUAAACGACCCGUCUUGAAACACGGACCAAGGAGUCUAACAUGCACGCGAGUGUUCGGGUGGAAAACCCGUGCGCGUAAUGAAAGUAAAAGUUGGGACCUCUGUCGUGGAGGGCACCGACGCCCGGACCAGACCUUCUGUGACGGCUCUGCGGUAGAGCGUGUAUGUUGGGACCCGAAAGAUGGUGAACUAUGCCUGAAUAGGGUGAAGCCAGAGGAAACUCUGGUGGAGGCUCGUAGCGAUUCUGACGUGCAAAUCGAUCGUCAAAUUUGGGUAUAGGGGCGAAAGACUAAUCGAACCAUCUAGUAGCUGGUUCCUGCCGAAGUUUCCCCUCAG